rnacentral:rRNA from 1 species
GAUGAACGCUGGCGGCGUGCUUAACACAUGCAAGUCGAACGGAAAGGCCCAAGCUUGCUUGGGUACUCGAGUGGCGCACGGGUGAGUAACACGUGGGUGAUCUGCCCUGCACUUCGGGAUAAGCCUGGGAAACUGGGUCUAAUACUGGAUAGGACCACUUCUUGGAUGGUGUGGUGGAAAGUUUUUUCGGUGUGGGAUGAGCUCGCGGCCUAUCAGCUUGUUGGUGGGGUAAUGGCCUACCAAGGCGUCGACGGGUAGCCGGCCUGAGAGGGUGUACGGCCACAUUGGGACUGAGAUACGGCCCAGACUCCUACGGGAGGCAGCAGUGGGGAAUAUUGCACAAUGGGCGCAAGCCUGAUGCAGCGACGCCGCGUGGGGGAUGACGGCAUUCGGGUUGUAAACUCCUUUCGCUAGGGACGAAGCGUUUUUGUGACGGUACCUGGAGAAGAAGCACCGGCUAACUACGUG